rnacentral:tRNA from 1 species
GGAGGGAUGGCCGAGCGGUUUAAGGCACCGGUCUUGAAAACCGGCGUGGCAGUGAUGUCACCGUGGGUUCGAAUCCCACUCCCUCCG